rnacentral:rRNA from 1 species
AUUGAACGCUGGCGGCAGGCCUAACACAUGCAAGUCGAGCGGAGCGGCGGACGGGUGAGUAAGGCCUAGGAAUCUGCCUGGUAGUGGGGGAUAACGUACGGAAAGGGGCGCUAUUACCGCAUGCUUUCAGAUGAGUCUCGGUCGGAUUAGCUAGUUGGUGGGGUAAAGGACUACCAAGGCGACGAUCCGUAACUGGUCUGAGAGGAUGAUCAGUCACACUGGAACUGAGACACGGUCCAGACUCCUACGGGAGGCAGCAGUGGGGAAUAUUGGACAAUGGGCGAAAGCCUGAUCCAGCCAUGCCGCGUGUGUGAAGAAGGUCUUCGGAUUGUAAAGCACUUUUGGUUGGGAAGCGUUACCCACAGAAUAAGCACCGGCUAACUUCGUGCCAGCAGCCGCGGUAAUAC